rnacentral:lncRNA from 10 species
CUCACGAUGAGUGUAGCUGUUUUCUCUUCUGAGGCUGACAGGAAGGCAGUAGCAGCAUGUUUUCAAGAGAUGCCACCAGUACUUGAAUUCUAUGAGUUGGCCAGCAACAAAGAAAGUGGCUUGAAAGAGCAAGAAGUGAGUAGUGACACCCAAGGUGGGCGAGUGGAAUAUAAAAGCAUUCUCCAGGGUUCUUAGUAAAAUUAAGGAAGCGGAAUGUGAAAGGAGGCAUGCAUGACUGCAGUCAUGCAGGAUGGAGAGCUGAAUGAUUUUUAUUUGGAAAUUAAAGAAAAGGCCAAUUCAAAAGUCCUGAAAACUUGAGGACCCUCAGGUGUCCUUGCCUGAUUUUGGUAUCAGGGAGAUACUGGUUUCAUAGAAUGAGUUAGGUGUGGCCUUGUGUCUGUGGAUAAGUGUUGACCAACGGAAUGUAAGUAAAGUGAAGAACAAUCAAAUAAAUGUUCUCAAAGGGAGAGGGCUUCUUUUCCCUUGUCUGCUAACUCAAAUAUGGAUCAGCUGACUGAAGCUGGAGCAGUUGCACUGGACCACUUAUUGAGGGUAGCAGAGCAAAAAGGAAGACAGAUCUCUGAGAAUCAUGGAGUUUUCACACCAGGAACCUACAUGAAGGAGAAAUAAACUAUCAUGUUUAUAAGCCACUGUUAUUUUGGGUUUUUCUAUAAAUUAUAGCUGAAACUACCCCUAUCUUUAUAGAGUUAUUUUCCAAAAUUUCAAAUAUUACCCAAAAAAUGCUUCAACAAAAAAUGACAUCUUUAAAGAAAUGUAUUUGUGUACAUGUUAUAAGCAUUAUUUUUUGGAUAGAUUCCUAGGAGUGAAAGUCUUGAGUAAAUGAUGUGUUAUUUUUAUUUUGAAAGAUACUUUCUACUUGCCUUGUAAAAAUGCUUUAUCAAGUUUCACAAAAAGAGUAUGAGAGGAAUUGUUUUCCUGUAUCCUCUAUACAGAUUUUUACUGAUUUUUAAAUUUAUUAUAUUUGAAUAGAUAAUCUUAUGUACAUAUCUGUAUUACGAGUAAGUCUAGGAAUCCUUUUUUCACACAUCUGUUUUGGCCAACUGUUUUCUUCUGUCUUUUGACAAACUUUCUAUAAAUUCUUUAGUUUUUCUGGCUGAUAUGUUUACAUAUUCUGGAUAUUAAUUAUUUUUAGUUGUAUGUUUGGCAAGUUUUUUUUCCAGACUGCUGGUUAUUGUGUAACUUACUUAUGAUGGCUUUAAUUAAAGAAGUAUUUAUAUUUCAGCAUAAGUGCCAACAUCUUCCUUCUGGAUUUUGCUUCUUAGCUAGAAACCUCUAGAGGUCAUAACAUUAUUUUUCUAUAUUUCUUCCAACAUACUCUUUCAAUUAAAAAUUAUUUCACUUUUUAAUGCAUCUGGAAUAUAUUUAUGCAAGAUAGGAAUUAGAGGUCUAAUAUUUAAUUAUUUUAAAUGAAUAACCAGUUUUCCCAGUGCCAUAUGUUUAAUAAUACUUCUACAUUUCACUGAUUUGAAAUGCAAGUUUAAUUAUAGUCAAAUUUUUGAAUAGGCAAAGAUGUGUUUCUUCGUUUCUGUGUUUUAUUAAUCAUCUGUUUCUAUGCCAAUGCCAUCCUUUGUGAACUCCUACAAUUUUGUAACACAUUUAGAUAUCUAGAUGGCAAAUCUUCUUUUCCAAAAGCAUUUGGAUAUUCUCAUUCAUAUACACUUCCAAAUGAACUUUGAAACAAAUUUUUAUCUGCCCAGCUGAAGGAAGAUUUUUAAAAUAUUGUAGCCAUUCCAUAAUUUUUAGAAGUCAAUAAGUGCUUUUAAAAAUGUGGAUGUUAACUAUGAUAUUAAUAUUUGAAUAAAAAUAUAGCUAGCCAAUUGGAAAGUAUUUUAGAAUAAAGAAGUUAUAUAAAUGCAUAUAUUAUUGAUACGUUUAUGCAACCAAAUGCCUAUAUCACCUACAGGUUAUCAAUCUAUGAAAAUAAUUCCUCAAAAUUUUUUAGUUUAUUAUUCCAAAGAAAAGCAAAUCAUCUUUCCCCCACAACUUGGCUGGAUCCAUAUUUAGACAAAGAAUUAACACAACCUCAAUUCUCUUUUCUUUUCUGUUAUUUUCUCUUUUUUUGAGACAAGGUCUGUUGCUCUGUUGCCCAGGCUGGAAUACAAUGGUGCAAUCAUAGCUCACUACAGCCUCAGCCUCCUGGGCUCAAGUGAUGCUCCUACCUGAGACUUUCGGGUAGCUGGAACUACAGGUGUGUGACAACAAGCCUGGCUAAUUUUUUCAAUUGUUUGUAGGGAUGGGUGUCUCAUUAUGUUGCCCAGGCUGGUCUCAAACUCCUGGCUUCAAGUGAUCCUCCCUCCUCAGCAUGCCAAACUGCUGAGAUUAUAGGCAUGAGCCACUGUGUCUGGCUCCCAAUUCUCUUUUCUAUAUGUCCAGAUGUUUUAGUGUAUAUUGACUGAGAUUAGCAAAUAUCAAUGUUCUCAGUUACCUUUAGAUUGAUGAGAAACUGGAAGAAACUGAAAUUUCUGGGCUUUUUUCUAACUUUUUUCAGUGAAUAUAUUGGCAUUGUAAAACAAUAAGCUACUGGUACUGUAAUCUAAUAGUUAUUAUGUGGACAGAAAACCUGUGACCUUAAAUUCAUGUUGUACUAAUAAGAGAAGUGUGUAG